UGGGGAAUCUUGCGCAAUGGGCGAAAGCCUGACGCAGCGACGCCGCGUGAGGGAAGAAGGCCUUCGGGUUGUAAACCUCUUUCAGGAGGGACGAAGCUACUCGGGUGAAUAGCCCAGAGGGUGACGGUACCUCCAGAAGAAGCCCCGGCUAACUACGUGCCAGCAGCCGCGGUAAUACGUAGGUGGCGAGCGUUGUCCGGAUUUACUGGGCGUAAAGAGCGCGCAGGCGGUCGUACAAGUCGCGUGUGAAGGCCCCCGGCUCAACUGGGGAGGGUCACGCGAUACUGUUCGACUCGAAGGCAGGAGAGGGAAGUGGAAUUCCCGGUGUAGUGGUGAAAUGCGUAGAUAUCGGGAGGAACACCAGUGGCGAAGGCGACUUCCUGGCCUGUUCUUGACGCUGAGGCGCGAAAGCUAGGGUAGCAAACGGGAUUAGACUACCCCGGUAGUCCUAGCCGUAAACGAUGGACACUAGGUGUUGGUGGUAUCAACCCCGCAGUGCCGAAGCAAACGCAUUAAGUCG
rnacentral:rRNA from 1 species